CAUUGCUUCUCUGACUUUGAUUGGAAAGCGGUGUGUGUGUAUGUGUUAUGUGUAUAUAUAAACAAGGAGUAAACUUUUCAAUAAGUUGAAAUUUCUCUGUAAAGUAACCCCCUGCUCCUUUCACAUAUUAACUGUAUACGGUAUAUACUUGUUUAAAUAAUGAUGGGACAAUAUUUAGAUUUAAGUAAAGACCUGUGUACCUGCAGAGUGCAAGCAUGUG